GUCUGAUGAUGAACAGGAAAUAUGUGCGAGGACUAUUUACUGCACAAACAUUGACAAGAAGGUCACUCAGGCAGAUCUGAAAUUGUUCUUUGAGUCUAUAUGUGGAGAGGUCUUUCGGCUGAGGUUGCUUGGUGACUACCAUCAUUCUACUCGCAUCGCUUUUGUGGAAUUUGUGAUGGUUAGCUAGC